GCCUAACACAUGCAGUCGAGGGGCAUCACAUGAAGCAGCAAUGCGGAUGGUGGCGACCGGCGCACGGGUGAGUAACACGUAUGCAACCUGCCUACAACAGGGGGAUAACCCGUUGAAAGACGGACUAAUACCCCAUAAUACAGGGGUCCCGCAUGGGAAUAUUUGUUAAAGAUUAAUCGGUUGUAGAUGGGCAUGCGUUCCAUUAGCUAGUUGGUGAGGUAACGGCCCACCAAGGCAACGAUGGAUAGGGGAACUGAGAGGUUUAUCCCCCACACUGGUACUGAGACACGGACCAGACUCCUACGGGAGGCAGCAGUGAGGAAUAUUGGUCAAUGGACGCAAGUCUGAACCAGCCACGUCGCGUGAAGGAAGACGGCCCUACGGGUUGUAAACUUCUUUUGUAAGGGAAUAAAGUGUAGUACGUGUACUAUUUUGCAUGUACCUUACGAAUAAGGAUCGGCUAACUCCGUGCCAGCAGCCGCGGUAAUACGGAGGAUCCGAGCGUUAUCCGGAUUUAUUGGGUUUAAAGGGUGCGCAGGCGGGAGAUUAAGUCGGCGGUGAAAUUUUGCAGCUCAACUGUAAAAGUGCCUUCGAAACUGGUUUCCUUGAGUGUAGAUGAAGUAGGCGGAAUUUGUGGUGUAGCGGUGAAAUGCAUAGAUAUCACGAGGAACUCCGAUUGCGCAGGCAGCUUACUAAGCUACAACUGACGCUCAGGCACGAAGGCGUGGGGAUCAAACAGGAUUAGAUACCCUGGUAGUCCACGCAGUAAACGAUGAUUACUCGCUGUUUGCGAUAUACAGUAAGCGGCUUAGCGAAAGCGUUAAGUAAUCCACCUGGGGAGUACGUUCGCAAGAAUGAAACUCAAAGGAAUUGACGGGGGCCCGCACAAGCGGAGGAACAUGUGGUUUAAUUCGAUGAUACGCGAGGAACCUUACCCGGGCUUGAAGUGCAUCUGACAGGGCAGAGACGCCCUCUUCCUUCGGGACAGAUGUGUAAGUGCUGCAUGGUUGUCGUCAGCUCGUGCCGUGAGGCGUC
rnacentral:rRNA from 1 species